GACGAACGCUGGCGGCGUGCUUAACACAUGCAAGUCGAACGAAGUGGCGAACGGGUGAGUAACGCGUAAUCAACCUGCCCUUCAGAGGGGGACAAAAGGUGGAAACGACUGCUAAUACCGCAUACUGAAGGAGGGGAGUGCGUCGGAUUAGCUAGUUGGAGGGGUAACGGCCCACCAAGGCGAAGAUCGGUAGCCGGUCUGAGAGGAGGAACGGCCAAAGUGGGACUUGGACACGGCCCAGACGUCUACGGGAGGCAGCAGGGGGGAAACUUCCGCAAUGGACGAAAGUCUGGCGGAGCAACGCCGCGUGAGUGAUGACGGCCUUCGGGUUGUAAAGCUCUUUUAAUCGGGACGCGGUACCGGAAUAGAAAGCCACGGCUAACUACGUGCCAGCAGCCGCGGUAAUUC
rnacentral:rRNA from 1 species